GACGUAGGGUCCGAGCGUUGUCCGGAAUUACUGGGCGUAAAGAGCUCGUAGGCGGUUUGUCGCGUCUGCUGUGAAAACUCGGGGCUUAACCCCGGGCCUGCAGUGGGUACGGGCAGACUAGAGUGCGGUAGGGGAGACUGGAAUUCCUGGUGUAGCGGUGAAAUGCGCAGAUAUCAGGAGGAACACCGGUGGCGAAGGCGGGUCUCUGGGCAGUAACUGACGCUGAGGAGCGAAAGCGUGGGGAGCGAACAGG
rnacentral:rRNA from 1 species